GAUGAACGCUAGCGGCAGGCUUAACACAUGCAAGUCGAGGGGUAGAAGUUGCUUGCAACUUUGAGACCGGCGCACGGGUGCGUAACGCGUAUGCAAUCUACCUUAUACAGAGGGAUAGCCCAGAGAAAUUUUGAUUAAUACCUCAUAGUAUACUUGAAUGGCAACAUUUAAUUAUUAAAGUUCCAACGGUCUAAGACGAGCAUGCGUCCUAUUAGCUAUAGGGUAAGGUAACGGCUUACCAUGGCAACGAUAGGUAGGGGUCCUGAGAGGGAGAACCCCCCCACUUGUAAUGAGACACGGACCAGACUCCUACGGGAGGCAGCAGUGAGGAAGAUUGGACAAUGGGCGCAAGCCUGAUCCAGCCAUGCCGCGUGCAGGAAGAAGCAUCUAUGGUGUGUAAACUGCUUUUGUACGAGAAGAAACACCCCUUCGUGAAGGGACUUGACGGUACCGUAAGAAUAAGGAUCGGCUAACUCCGUGCCAGCCGCCGCGGUAA
rnacentral:rRNA from 1 species